rnacentral:rRNA from 2 species
UGCGACCUCAGAGCAGGUGAGACUACCCGC